rnacentral:lncRNA from 10 species
CAUUUUACAGAUAAGGAAACUGGAACGACCUGUCCAAGAUCACAUAUAUAUCAGAGGCAGGAUUUGAACACAGGUAUUUUUAACUUCAAAGCCGAGGCACUUUAAUCAUCAUCCUUUCACAGGAGAGACAAUGCACAAAAGGCAAUAAAUAAAACUUCUUCCUAAAUCUGGAUGGAUUUUAUGCAAAGAGAAAAGUCAGAAUAGAAAGUGUUGACAAAAUACAAAAACAAAACAAAACGAAAAAGCAAAACAAACCCAAAACCAACGCGAGGCACUGAAGAGUGAAUAAAAGCAAGUAGGCCCUGGCUGGGAGUCAACACUUGGAAGAAGGGCAUGACAUAUGGUGAGUUAUCUGUUUUUCUGGCUUUGAUCUUGAAGGUGCGCUGCAGUCAGCAGAGCACACUUGGGGAACCUGCGGUCUUUCUGGCCUAAAGAAUCAGAGUACAAAGUUUAGAGCAACCACAGCCACUGGAAAGUGAAGUGGGGAGUGCCAUAAAGGAAAGGCUCGGAAAGGGGGUGGCUCCAGAUCCCAUCUGUAAACUCUGCCCAAAUCUCUCACUGCUCCCUGAACCACACAUGCAUGAAAAAUACUUUAGCAGAGGAAAAUAACUGAACUGAGGUUUGAGCUGCCACCGAAGAGCAGAGUUUGAAGUUAAUUGCCUAAUAAAAAGAAAGAAAUCAACAUGUUUCGGAGGACUAACAGAAACCAGAGCCUCUACAGCGUAACAUGAACAAUGUCCAGGAUAGAAUCCUGUUCCUGUAUAAAUAUGUUCUCAAAACACAACAGAACUAAACUAGAAAUCAGUAACAGCAAGAUAGCUGGAAAAUCCCAAAAUGUUUGGAGAUUAAACAACACACUUCUAAGUAACACACAGGUCAAAGAAGAAGUCUCAGGAGAAAUUUUUAAAUAUUUUUAAUAUAUGAAAAUGAGGCUGGGCAUGGUGCCUCACGCCUAUAAUCCCAGCAAUUUGGGAGGCUGAGGAAGGUGAAGUGCUUGAGCCCAAGAGUUCGAGACCAGCCUGGGCAACAAAGUGAGACCUAUCUCUACGAAAAAAAUAGAAAAAAUUAGCCAAGUAUGGUGGUGAAAGCCUAUAGUCCCAGCUACUCGGGAGGCUGAGCUGGGAGGAUCACUUGAGCCCGGGAGUUUGAGGUUACUACAGUGAGCCAUGAUCGUGCCGAUGUACUCCAGCCUGUGUGACAGAGCAUGACACUGUUUCAAAAAAAAAGAAAAUGAAAAUGAAAAUACAAAUCUUCAAAAUUUGUUGAAUGCCGUGAAAGCAAUGCUUAGAGGGAAAUUUAUAUCAUUAAAUGCAUAUAUUUUAAAAAAGAAAGAUCUAAAAUUAAUAACCUAAGUUUUCCCCUUAAAAAACUAGAGAAAAGGGGCAAUUUAAUCUCAGAGCAAGCAGAGGAAAAGGAAUAAUAAAAAUUAGAGCAGAAACCAACAAAACUGUAAACAGGAAAUAAAUAGAGAAAAUAAAAUCUAAAUCUUGUUCUUUUAAAAGAUCAAUAAAAAUGAUGAACCAACAUCCAGGCUAACUAAGAAAGACAGAAGACACAAAUUACGAAUACAGUAGUCCCCUCUUAAUGGCAAGGGAUAUGUUCCAAAACCCCUGAAGUGUACCUAAAAUAGGCGGUAGUAUCAAACCCUGCAUAUACUAUGUCUUUCCUGUAUGUACCUACUUAUGACAAAGUUUCAUUUAUAAAUUAGGCACAGUAAGAAUAAUAUAAUAAUAAUAAUAAUAAAAUAGAACUAAUAAUAAAAUAGGACAAUUAUAACAAUAUACUGGAAUAAAAAGUAUGUGAAUAUGUUCUCUCUUUCUCUUUUCCUCUCAAAAUAUCUUAUUGUACUGUGCCCAUCCUUUUUCUUCUUGUGAUGAUGUAACAUGAUAAAAUGCUUAUACAACAAGAUGAAGUGAAGUGAAUGAUGUAGGCAUUGUAACUGCCCAGUGAGCUCACCUUACCUGCUGCCUACAGAGAGCCAAUUUAUCCAGACAGAGGAAUUGCAAUAGAGAAAGAGUAAUUCACACAGCCGGCUGUGCUGGAAACUGGAGUUUUAUUAUUACUCUAAUCAGUCUUCCUGAGCAUUCAGGGAUCAGAGUUUUUAAGGAUAAUUUGGUGGGUGGAGAACCAGUAAGUUGGGAGUGCUGAUUGGUUGGGUCAGAGAUGAAAUCAUAGGGCCAGGCAGUGGUGGUUCAUGCCUAUAGUCCCAGCACUUUGGAAGGCUGAGGCAGACUGAUUGAUUGAGCUCAGAAGUUUGAGACCAGCUUAGGCAACAUGGCAAAACCCCAUCUCUACAAAAAAUGCAAAAAUUAGCUAGGCAUGUU